rnacentral:rRNA from 1 species
GUGUCAGCCGCCGCGGUAAUACGGAGGGUGCAAACGUUGCUCGGAAUUAUUGGGCGUAAAGCGUACGUAGGCGGUCCAGCAAGUCGGGAGUGAAAUCCCUCGGCUCAACCGAGGAAGUGCUUUCGAAACUACUGGGCUUGAAUACUGGAGAGGGUUGCGGAAUUCCCGGUGUAGAGGUGAAAUUCGUAGAUAUCGGGAGGAACACCAGUGGCGAAGGCGGCAACCUGGACAGAUAUUGACGCUGAUGUACGAAAGCGUGGGGAGCAAACAGGAUUAGAUACCCUUGUAGUCC